UUUAAUAACUCAGUGAAAGCUGCAACAACCUGGUCUUGAUGGUGAAGAAUGUCUUCCGGGGAUCUUAAACACACAAACAUUUAAUGAGGUCAUGGGUUCGAGGCUUCAUGCCACUAUACUGUUGGGGCAUGUGUGACCGUGAGCACGAGGAAAUUUCUCCAACACAGAGGUUUUCUACAUAAAAUUUAUUACUCUAAAAGGUGAAAAUAUGGAAAUAGAUUGGUACAUAAGGAAUAAAGACAUCUGAAACCAAAGCUUCCUUAUCCGGAUGCUCGAAAUAAGUGAGA